UCAAUCGCAGCUGCCCCUAUUAUCUAAUUCCACCAUCUCUUUUUCUCUUUCUGAAUAUGUAUUCAACUUCCUACACUUUGAUAGUAAGUAGAAGAUGAAUGACCCUGAUUUCAGUGCUACAGAAGACGAUGAUAAGUCCAAGAAAAAAUUGAAUCGAAACGGUAAUUGAUGAAUGGAACAGCCGUAUUUGUGUUGUUUGCACAAUCAAUUGUGCUUAUUGACGAUCUUUUUUUUUCUAUCAUGUUUUUGUGAAAAAUGAGUGUAGUCCAGAAGAAAUGGACUCCGAUUGAUGAUAUGACUUUGAAAGAUGGGAUACAGGGGAGCUCUAAUUUUCAGAAGCUGGCUCGUUCGCUUCGCUUCUCUGUUCGUUUUACGGCGUUCGAAUUGGAACAGCGAUGGCGUCAAUUGCUGUAUGACCCUGAAAUAUCUGAAAUGAGCACACGUGCUAUGUCAGAGUUGCCUUACUGCUUGAAGAGGGCUAUGUGGUCUGAGAAGGAAGAGGAAAUUAUCAUUCGCGAAAUCAACGAAGGCGUUUUGAGUUUCCAGGCCAUAUUGGAUAACUACAGACCAUUUUUUCAUCCAGUGCGAAGCGCCAGGUCUAUAGAGGCGCAUUGCAUUAAAAAAAAACUUGGAAAGCAUCGAGAAAUAGGUGGAAAUGCCUCUAAAAAAAUGAAAAUGGCAAAAGCUGAGGAGACAGUACAAAUACAACCACCUUCAUCACCUAAAGAUUUGACCCUUCCUCCAGACCAAGACGAAAAUGUCUGCAGAAACAUUGACUGGGAUAAGCACCCGGACUGCAUAGCCUACUUGUUUUGGAAAUCAAUCAUUUAUUUAAAUGGAGAAAAAGAGGUGGUGAUUGGGCGCUGCAAGAAUGACACAGUCGACGUUAAUUUGAGAGAUGAGGAAGGGAACGCUGCAAAAAUAUCGCGAAGACAAGCUAUUAUUUUGUAUGAUGCUGAUUUGAAGACAUUUUCGUUGAAAAAUAUUGGGAAGGCUCACGUGAUGGUCAACGACCAGGAGGUUGACAGAGAAGGAUCUGUUAUUCUUCCCUCGAAAUGUGUUCUUUCUUUCAACGAGUUCAAAUUGAUAUUUCAGAUGGUAACACCUCGAAAAAAGCAGCAAAUCUCGGAUUUUGAAGUCUAAGCAUUCAAUGUUUGCAAGAAAUCAAUGAAUGGUAUUUUGAACUGGAUUAGAAUAGAAGCUGCGGGUGAUACUUACGCACUAGGCUUUUGCACUUUGUGUGGAUAUGGCUGCGCAUGAGUAAAAGAACCAAGCUAGUGUGUAUUUAUUAACAUCUUUUUUUAUAUCAAAAACCCAUAAAAAUCUUAGAAGGUUGUCUUUCACUAUUCAGUUUAUGAAUGCCACAGCAGUAGGUAAUGUGUUUUUUUACAAUAAACAAUAUAUAUGAAAAAAGAACGUUUGGUUUGUUUUAGUUGACCUGGUGAUUUUUAGAGCGUGCUGUCUGUGCCACAAUAAGUUUGCAUAUAAGCUGUCGUUGGGUAAUAUCGUUUCACUUUUCCUCUCUUCGAAUGGUGAUGCAACCUCGGAGAAGCUAAAUGAAAUGUGUUUUAUGUUGACCAUAUGCCACAACUUUGACAGAAAGGCAUAGCACACACUUUCAGGGCAUCGAUCUUUUUGUUGUACUCGAAGUGGGCUGUUCUUUUUCCGCUGUCUCUUUAUCAGAAAGCUUUUUCUGAGCCAGCGCUAUGUUUUGGAGCUUCGAGGGAUGUUUGAUAUCUGUUAAUGUAAUACACGUGACAGCUUUGUGAUGCCCGGAAAAUUGGGCGAUGGGCUUUUCUUCGUUAAUAUCCCACAGAUAGGCCAAAUUGUCG